CCUUCGGGAGGCAGCAGUGAGGAAUAUUGGUCAAUGGCCGCGAGGCUGAACCAGCCAAGUCGCGUGAAGGAUGAAUGCCCUACGGUUUGUAAACUUCUUUUAUAAAGGAAUAAAGUGAUGCACGUGUGCCUAUUUGUAUGUACUUUAUGAAUAAGCAUCGGCUAACUCCGUGCCAGCAGCCGCGGUAAUACGGAGGAUCCGAGCGUUAUCCGGAUUUAUUGGGUUUAAAGGGAGCGUAGGUGGUUUGUUAAGUCAGUUGUGAAAGUUUGCGGCUCAACCAUAAAAUUGCAAUUGAUACUGGCAGCCUUGAGUACAGUUGAGGUAGGCGGAAUGCGUGGUGUAGCGGUGAAAUGCUUAGAUAUCACGAAGAACUCCGAUUGCGAAGGCAGCUUACUAAGC
rnacentral:rRNA from 1 species